UCCUUAUUAAGAGUGGUGGAGGGAAUGGCCCUAUGAAGCCCGGCAACCCUUUGAAGAAAUUCAGGGAAGGUGCCAAUUCCAGCAGAACAAUGUUCUGACAGAUAAGAC
rnacentral:ncRNA from 2 species